AAAGUCUCAUAUGCAACGGCAAUGGACUGGUUCAUAGCAGUGUGCUUUGCCUUU
rfam:Xenopus tropicalis strain Nigerian Chr03_contig_704, whole genome shotgun sequence.